GAGGGAGAGGGGAGGAGAAAGGACUUU
rnacentral:piRNA from 1 species